CCGACUCGGAUCCUCCCAGGAGGUCACUCUCCCCAGGCUCUGUCCAGGUGGCAGAGGGAAGCGUAGGGCUCUGCCCCAUGAUCACAGUCCUUUUCCACAGCGUCCUAGGUAAAGUGGGGCCUUGCGUCUGUGCCUGCAUGUUCCUACAGCGUCUCAGAGUCCUGUGGGCAGUGACUGAGGAGACAGCCCUCCAUGCAGGACCAGCC
ensembl:snoRNA SNORA73 Small nucleolar RNA SNORA73 family